rnacentral:rRNA from 1 species
GAUCAUGGCUCAGGAUGAACGCUAGCUACAGGCUUAACACAUGCAAGUCGCGGGGCGAGCAUGAAGUCAGCUUGCUGACUUUGAUGGCGACCGGCGCACGGGUGAGUAACGCGUAUCCAACCUGCCUGUUACCACGGCACAGCCCGUCGAAAAGGCGGAUUAAUGCCGUAUGUGGUCUUGAAAGGGCAAUCUGUAUCAUGACUAAAAGGUUCAGCGGUAACGGAUGGGG